UACGUAGGGUGCAAGCGUUAAUCGGAAUUACUGGGCGUAAAGCGUGCGCAGGCGGUUUUGUAAGUCAGAUGUGAAAGCCCCGGGCUCAACCUGGGAACCGCGCUUGAGACUGGCGGACUCGAGUUCGGGAGAGGAUGGUGGAAUUCCCAGUGUAGAGGUGAAAUUCGUAGAUAUUGGGAAGAACACCGAUGGCGAAGGCAGCCAUCUGGACCGACACUGACGCUGAGGCGCGAAAGCGUGGGGAGCAAACAGG
rnacentral:rRNA from 1 species